ACGAACGCUGGCGGCAGGCCUAACACAUGCAAGUCGCGCGCCCCGCAAGGGGAGCGGCGGACGGGUGAGUAACGCGUGGGAAUAUGCCCUUUGCUACGGAAUAGUCUCGGGAAACUGGGGGUAAUACCGUAUACGCCCUUUGGGGGAAAGAUUUAUCGGCGAAGGAUUAGCCCGCGUUGGAUUAGGUAGUUGGUGGGGUAAUGGCCUACCAAGCCGACGAUCCAUAGCUGGUUUGAGAGGAUGAUCAGCCACACUGGGACUGAGACACGGCCCAGACUCCUACGGGAGGCAGCAGUGGGGAAUCUUAGACAAUGGGGGCAACCCUGAUCUAGCCAUGCCGCGUGAGUGAUGAAGGCCUUAGGGUUGUAAAGCUCUUUCAGCUGGGAAGAUAAUGACGGUACCAGCAGAAGAAGCCCCGGCUAACUCCGU
rnacentral:rRNA from 1 species